rnacentral:tRNA from 1 species
GCGGUCGUGGCGGAAUGGCAGACGCGCUAGCUUCAGGCGCUAGUGGUGUAAACCGUGGAGGUUCAAGUCCUCUCGACCGCACCA